rnacentral:rRNA from 1 species
CCUACGGGAGGCAGCAGUGAGGAAUAUUGGUCAAUGGACGAGAGUCUGAACCAGCCAAGUAGCGUGAAGGAUGACUGCCCUAUGGGUUGUAAACUUCUUUUAUAUGGGAAUAAAAUGUUCCACGUGUGGGAUUUUGUAUGUACCAUAUGAAUAAGGAUCGGCUAACUCCGUGCCAGCAGCCGCGGUAAUACGGAGGAUCCGAGCGUUAUCCGGAUUUAUUGGGUUUAAAGGGAGCGUAGGUGGAUUGUUAAGUCAGUUGUGAAAGUUUGCGGCUCAACCGUAAAAUUGCAGUUGAAACUGGCAGUCUUGAGUACAGUAGAGGUGGGCGGAAUUCGUGGUGUAGCGGUGAAAUGCUUAGAUAUCACGAAGAACUCCGAUUGCGAAGGCAGUUCACUGGACUGCAACUGACACUGAGGCUCGAAAGUGUGUGUAUCAAACAGGAUUAGAUACCCGAGUAGUC